AGAGUUGAUCCUGGCUUAGGACGAACGCUGGCGGCGUGCUUAACACAUGCAAGUCGAACGAGAAUCUAUGGAAAGAGGAUUCGUCCAAUGGAAAUAGAGGACGAGUGGCGGACGGGUGAGUAACGCGUGAGGAACCUGCCUUUCAGAGGGGGACAACAGUUGGAAACGACUGCUAAUACCGCAUAAUGCAUUUGUAUCGCAUGGUACGAAUGCCAAAGAUUUAUCGCUGAAAGAUGGCCUCGCGUCUGAUUAGAUAGUUGCGGGGUAACGGCCCACCAAGUCGACGAUCAGUAGCCGGACUGAGAGGUUGAACGGCCACAUUGGGACUGAGAUACGGCCCAGACUCCUACGGGAGGCAGCAGUGGGGAAUAUUGGGCAAUGGGCGCAAAAGCCUGACCCAGCAACGCCGCGUGAAGGAAGAAGGCUUUCGGGUUGUAAACUUCUUUUAAGAGGGAAGAGCAGAAGACGGUACCUCUAGAAUAAGCCACGGCUAACUACGUGCCAGCCGCCGC
rnacentral:rRNA from 1 species